UUGUUAGGUCGCCCUGUGGCAUUUCAUUGCUUGUUUCAUUUAUUUAUCACAAGCUGAACGGGACUCUUAUAUACCUCGCCGUUACUCGUUUUAGAAUAUAAAGCCUGAAGUUAGGGAAAACAUUUUUGUAUUAGUUUUGCAGACGUGCCAGUCAACACAAUUAUAAAACAACCAAGCAACUAUGUAAAAUUAAUCGGGUUAUAAUUAAAGUUUUAUUCACCUAAUACCAAAUCAAAA